UCAGCUUCGGGCCUAGAUCCUGG
rnacentral:miRNA from 1 species